rnacentral:rRNA from 1 species
UACGUAGGGUGCAAGCGUUGUCCGGAAUUAUUGGGCGUAAAGAGCUCGUAGGCGGCUUGCUAAGUCAGGUGUGAAACCUCCAGGCUCAACCUGGAGCCGCCACCUGAUACUGGUAUGGCUAGAGUCCGGUAGGGGACCACGGAAUUCCUGGUGUAGCGGUGAAAUGCGCAGAUAUCAGGAGGAACACCCGGUGGCGAAGGCGGUGGUCUGGGGCCCGGCACUGACG